AACGAACGCUGGCGGCGCGCCUAAUACAUGCAAGUCGAGCGAGAAGACGUAGCAAUACGUUUGUAAAGCGGCGAACGGGUGAGGAAUACAUGGGUAACCUACCCUCGAGUGGGGAAUAACUAGCCGAAAGGUUAGCUAAUACCGCGUACGCUCCUUGGACUUCGGUUCAGGGAGGAAAGCGAUACCGUGGGUAUCGCGCUCUUGGAUGGGCUCAUGUCCUAUCAGCUUGUUGGUGAGGUAACGGCUCACCAAGGCUUCGACGGGUAGCCGGUCUGAGAGGACGAUCAGCCACACUGGCACUGCGACACGGGCCAGACUCCUACGGGAGGCAGCAGUAAGGAAUAUUGCGCAAUGGGCGAAAGCCUGACGCAGCGACGCCGCGUGGGGGAUGAAGGUCUUCGGAUUGUAAACCCCUUUCGGGUAGGGAAGA
rnacentral:rRNA from 1 species